AAUAUAAUUCUUAAUAUCAAAAGAAUCCUUAGAAAAACCUUAUUUUUGGUGUUCAUCCAGAUUCGAGGGACAGAUCUCUGGCAAAAACAUUGAGAUUGGCAUUAUUGGAACUGACAAAGUAUUUAAAGUUCUCACGCCAGCGGAAAUAGAUGAUUACCUACAAGAAGUGGAAUAGAUUUUCUUUUCCGCUUAAGGCAUUGGAAAAAGUUGUCAGGUUGGAAGCGCAGACGGGGUCAUAGCACAACUAUUGGAUGUUCUUGUUGGCUUGAUUAUCACUUGACUUUAAUCAAACUAGACUUAGUUGUAUGUUGGCCAUGUUGUGGUUAUUUAUUGCCUGAUGUAUGGCUCUGAAAAGUUAUAUGGGUUUUCUUUUCUCAGUUUCUUGAACAUACUGAUUGUUCUAUGUUACCUGAAACACAUGACAGUAGAGAAAAGCAUUAUAUUAUUUGAGCAACCCUCUGACGUCAGAGAAAUGGAUUUGAAAAUAGAAGGGAUACAUAAUUACUUGCUCUGCA